rnacentral:lncRNA from 1 species
GUAACUGGUUUUAUGACAGCAAAUCAACUGAGUCAGCUCAUGGGAAGUUGUAGGGCACAUUGAUAGGCAUUUCGAUCAGGACCUGAAGAACAAGUUCUAGACAAAGGUGACUACAGCUCUGAAGAUGGAUAUGCUGUCUUGUGAGUCGGAGGGCUUCCCUCUCCAUAGUUGUAUUAAGAAUGAGGUUAAAAGCUCUCAGACAGACUCCUCAAAGCCACAUCCACAGCACAGCGAACACAACAGUGCUUGAAACAGGGACUCUGCCUCUUCUGGGAACUUUGAAAACAACUGCUGAGGGUAUUUCUACAGUUCUUGACAGUGAGCAAACAUCCCAAACAUUCUGUGGUUAUGGAUACUACAUUCCUAAUGUUCCCAGCAUUUUUGCUAUAUUCAUAGCAGAGAAAGUGUGGAUUGUCUAUGAGCCACAGUUCCUAUAGAAAAUAAUCCACCUGCUUCAGAAUCAGGUCCUCCAUGGGCUACAGUGUGGAUAUCUACUCCAUCAUGAUCUCCUCCUCCAUUGUCUACAGGAAGGCUCAUGGCUAGGUAUCACUGCUAUUUUGGAAAGAAUUAAUAUUCCUUUCCCAUUGAAACUGCUGAAUUUGGAGCUAUAAAAAUGCUUACUGAAUGGACAUAAGGCAAUAAAUGAUGUAGGUGGGUUAAAACA